rnacentral:rRNA from 1 species
GGGUGCGUUCACACCAAUGUUAAUGCAGUGGUCCAAUCAAAGCUUCAUAGUUAAGCGUACUUGGGAUAGAAUAAUAAUGGAAGGGGUCACCUAUGAGGAAAUCCUUGUGUUGCACUCU